rnacentral:lncRNA from 1 species
UGAUUUUUUCAUAUGUUGGAACCAAAAAUCAAAUCCUAAGUUAUAUGACAUCUAAAGAUUAUCUUCCAUAUAUCAUUCUAGUGAUAAGAUCAAAAGCAACUGGAUUUUGGAGCGAUCGUGAUGCAAGUUCGAAACCGAUAGUGUUCUUCAGAAGACAAGGCUGUGGCAGCACACCGAUUGGGAAAGACCUUGGCCAACUUUCAUGUGGAUCACCAUUGGAAGACUUCUAUCUUGGGGUCUUGUGGAGAACACCAAUAUGUCACUUUUCUAUUUUGGUGAAAGUAUAAAAUUCUAUCUUUGUUGCAUGCUUGAUUUUGUUUUAUCGAUAUCAGCAAGGUGAUUCUAGGGUUUGGAUUCUGGCUCGAUA